ACGGGAGACACACGGCGGGUGCUAACGUCCGUCGUGAAGAGGGAAACAACCCAGACCGCCAGCUAAGGUCCCAAAGUCAUGGUUAAGUGGGAAACGAUGUGGGAAGGCCCAGACAGCCAGGAUGUUGGCUUAGAAGCAGCCAUCAUUUAAAGAAAGCGUAAUAGCUCACUGGUCGAGUCGGCCUGCGCGGAAGAUGUAACGGGGCUAAACCAUGCACCGAAGCUGCGGCAGCGACGCUUAUGCGUUGUUGGGUAGGGGAGCGUUCUGUAAGCCUGCGAAGGUGUGCUGUGAGGCAUGCUGGAGGUAUCAGAAGUGCGAAUGCUGACAUAAGUAACGAUAAAGCGGGUGAAAAGCCCGCUCGCCGGAAGACCAAGGGUUCCUGUCCAACGUUAAUCGGGGCAGGGUGAGUCGACCCCUAAGGCGAGGCCGAAAGGCGUAGUCGAUGGGAAACAGGUUAAUAUUCCUGUACUUGGUGUUACUGCGAAGGGGGGACGGAGAAGGCUAUGUUGGCCGGGCGACGGUUGUCCCGGUUUAAGCGUGUAGGCUGGUUUUCCAGGCAAAUCCGGAAAAUCAAGGCUGAGGCGUGAUGACGAGGCACUACGGUGCUGAAGCAACAAAUGCCCUGCUUCCAGGAAAAGCCUCUAAGCAUCAGGUAACAUCAAAUCGUACCCCAAACCGACACAGGUGGUCAGGUAGAGAAUACCAAGGCGCUUGAGAGAACUCGGGUGAAGGAACUAGGCAAAAUGGUGCCGUAACUUCGGGAGAAGGCACGCUGAUAUGUAGGUGAAGUCCCUCGCGGAUGGAGCUGAAAUCAGUCGAAGAUACCAGCUGGCUGCAACUGUUUAUUAAAAACACAGCACUGUGCAAACACGAAAGUGGACGUAUACGGUGUGACGCCUGCCCGGUGCCGGAAGGUUAAUUGAUGGGGUCAGCGCAAGCGAAGC
rnacentral:rRNA from 1 species